rnacentral:rRNA from 1 species
CCCGCACAAGCGGAGGAACAUGUGGUUUAAUUCGAUGAUACGCGAGGAACCUUACCUGGGCUUAAAUGGGGAGUGACAGCUGUCGAAAGAUGGUUUUCUUCGGACACUCUUCAAGGUGCUGCAUGGUUGUCGUCAGCUCGUGCCGUGAGGUGUCGGUUAAGUCCCAUAACGAGCGCAACCCUUACCGUUAGUUACCAUCAGGUUAAGCUGGGGACUCUAGCGGGACUGCCACCGUAAGGUGAGAGGAAGUGGGGAUGACGUCAAAUCAGCACGGCCCUUAUGUCCAGGGCUACACACGUGUUACAAUGGCCAGUACAAAGGGCAGCUACCGGGUGACCGGAUGCUAAUCUCUAAAGCUGGUCUCAGUUCGGAUCGAAGUCUGCAACCCGACUUCGUGAAGCUGGAUUCGCUAGUAAUCGCGCAUCAGCCAUGGCGCGGUGAAUACGUUCCCGGGCCUU